GACAGAGGGGGCAAGCGUUGCUCGGAAUUACUGGGCGUAAAGGGCGCGUAGGCGGGAUGGCAAGUCGGUCGUGAAAUCCCUCGGCUCAACCGAGGAACGUCGAUCGAUACUGCUGUUCUUGAGGAUCGCAGAGGAGACUGGAAUUCCCGGUGUAGCGGUGAAAUGUGUAGAGAUCGGGGAGGAACGACCGGUGGCGAAGGCGGGUCUCUGGGCCGAUACUGACGCUGAGGAGCGAAAGCGUGGGGAGCAAACGGGG
rnacentral:rRNA from 1 species